rnacentral:lncRNA from 1 species
UCCAUGAUCUGAAUCUUCCAGUCUUUUUGCGUCAAUAACUUGCAAUAUCUUUUUGGUUUUCCCGAAGAGGAGAACUGCACUGCGGAUACUCUUCUCUCUUUCCUCAAUCUUACAUUGAUGGCAUUUGCUGGUGAUAACAUAUUGCAGGUUAGUCAAAGAUGCUGUUAAUAUAUUACAGAUCAUGAGAUAUAUCUUUUCAAAUAGUCUCUCACUUGUUUGUUGCUGUUUCGCCAACAUGAGAGUUUCACAUAUUCUGUACAUGGAAUUUGCUGCCAACACCCUGAUGGGCCAACGUGACGGAACCUCCUUCCAAAAAUCAUUCAUAUGCAUCAUGUCUAUAUCGGAGAAUUCCUUGAAUUUUUCCUUUGAGAUAUCAGAUAGUAAUUUGAUAAUUUCAAUUUCUGUUGCAGGUUCUCGUUGAUGUGCUAGCUUACCAAGAUCAACAUCUAACCACUUGUUAUACAGUUCAACUCCUGACCAUACAACUUCUGCUGCUUUCGUGACAUGUUUCAAGUCUUUUUUGUUGUCCAGAUGAUUCUCUAUCUCACUGACAUACUUCAAC